UACGUAGGGUGCAAGCGUUAAUCGGAAUUACUGGGCGUAAAGCGUGCGCAGGCGGUUAUGUAAGACAGAUGUGAAAUCCCCGGGCUUAACCUGGGAACUGCAUUUGUGACUGCAUAGCUAGAGUACGGUAGAGGGGGAUGGAAUUCCGCGUGUAGCAGUGAAAUGCGUAGAUAUGCGGAGGAACACCGAUGGUGAAGGCAAUCCCCUGGACCUGUACUGACGCUCAUGCACGAAAGCGUGGGGAGCAAACAGG
rnacentral:rRNA from 1 species